rnacentral:lncRNA from 10 species
UUAAGAGUCAUCACCACUCCCUAAUCUCAAGUACCCAGGGACACAAAAACUGCGGAAGGCCGCAGGGACCUCUGCCUAGGAAAGCCAGGUUGUCUGCCAACGCUAACUGGCCAGCUCUGACAGGAGGUGCGUGGCCCAGGAGGAGCCAUCAGGCCAGUUCUCUGGGAUACUGCUGUGUCUCCAGCUCUGCAGUUUGCUCUUCGUCACUCAGCGGCAGACGGAGAGGCAGACACGAGCCCCUUGUGAGCCCUCCUCCUUACCGUCAUCUCACAAUGCUCUGAAAUAAGGAGGCAAAUGGCUGAGGUCCCCUCAGUUGUAGAUGUGAUUGAGUUCUAUCUACCAGAAGCAUAUGCCUCCUGGAAGCCUGGUUCUAACACCUCCCACAAAAUCCUUCAAGCACUUUUUUCUGUUCCAAGGUUUGCUUAUGGGGGACCCAGUGAAGUGCUUCAGAGCCCUAGAGAUUUGCUGAGUCAUAUGAGGGGUCAGCAAACUUUUCCUGUAAAGGGUCAGAUAAUAAACAUUUUAAGCUUUGUA